AGAGUUUGAUCCUGGCUCAGAACGAACGCUGGCGGCGCGUUUUAAGCAUGCAAGUCGAAGGAGAAAUCAGUGCUUGCACUGAUGGAAACUGGCGAACGGGUGAGUAACACGUAAGAAUCUGCCCUGAGGCGGGGGAUAGCCCAUGGAAACAUGGGAUAAUACCGCGUAUGUCUUCGGAUGAAAGCAACUUUUGUUGCGCCUUGGGAUGAGCUUGCGGUCCAUUAGCUAGUUGGUAAGGUAAAGGCUUACCAAGGCGACGAUGGAUAGCCGGCCUGAGAGGGUGAUCGGCCACAUUGGGACUGAGACACGGCCCAGACUCCUACGGGAGGCAGCAGCUAAGAAUAUUCCGCAAUGGGAGAGAUCCUGACGGAGCGACGCCGCGUGAACGAUGAAGGCAGAAAUGUUGUAAAGUUCUUUUAUACGGGAAGAAUAAUGUUAUUCAGAGAAAGUCUAACAGAUGACGGUACCGUAUGAAUAAGCCCCGGCUAACUACGUGCCAGCAGCCGCGGUAAUACGUAGGGGGCAAGCGUUGUUCGGAUUUAUUGGGCGUAAAGGGCAUGUAGGCUGUUUUGCAAGUGUGGAUUGAAAGGCCGGAGCUUAACUCCGUGUUUGGUCUGCAAACUGCAAGACUUGAGUUUAGGAUGGGAGACUGGAAUUCCACGUGUAGGGGUGAAAUCUGUAGAGAUGUGGAAGAAUACCGGUGGCGAAGGCGAGUCUCUGGCCUAAUACUGACGCUGAGAUGCGAAAGCGUGGGGAGCGAACAGGAUUAGAUACCCUGGUAGUCCACGCCGUAAACGUUGCACACUAGGUGUUAGGGGAGUUGAUCUUCUAGUGCCGUAGCUAACGCGUUAAGUGUGCCGCCUGGGGAGUAUGCCGGCAACGGUGAAACUCAAAGGAAUUGACGGGGGCCCGCACAAGCGGUGGAGCAUGUGGUUUAAUUCGAUACGCGAAAAACCUUACCAGGACUUGACAUCUAGAUGAUGGAUACAGAGAUGUAUCUUCCUUUCGGGGCAUCUAGACAGGUGCUGCAUGGCUGUCGUCAGCUCGUGUUGUGAGAUGUUGGGUUAAGUCCCGCAACGAGCGCAACCCCUACUGUUAGUUGCCAUCUGGGUAAUGCCAGGGCACUCUAGCGGAACUGCCGGUGACAAACCGGAGGAAGGUGGGGAUGACGUCAAGUCCUCAUGGCCCUUAUGUCCUGGGCUACACACGUGCUACAAUGGGCUGUACAAAGGGUUGCAAUACUGCGAAGUGGAGCCAAUCCCAAAAAGCAGUCCUCAGUUCGGAUUGGAGUCUGCAACUCGACUCCAUGAAGUUGGAAUCGCUAGUAAUCGCAGAUCAGCAUGCUGUGGUGAAUACGUUCCCGGGCCUUGUACACACCGCCCGUCACACCAUCCGAGUCGAAGAUACCCGAAGUCGUUACCCUAAUCCUUUGGAGGGGGGGCGCCUAAGGUAUGUUUGGUAAGGAGGGUGAAGUCGUAACAAGGUA
rnacentral:rRNA from 1 species